GAUGAAGAACGUAGCAAAAUGCGAUAAGUAAUGUGAAUUGCAGAAUUCAGUGAAUCAUCGAAUCUUUGAACGCACAUUGCGCCCACCAGUAUUCUGGCGGGCAUGCCUGUUCGAGCGUCAUUUCAACCCUCAAGCACAGCUUGGUGUUGGGACUCGCGUUAAUUCGCGUUCCCCAAAUUGAUUGGCGGUCACGUCGAGCUUCCAUAGCGUAGUAGUAAAACCCUCGUUACUGGUAAUCGUCGCGGCCACGCCGUUAAACCCCAACUUCUGAAUGUUGACCUCGGAUCAGGUAGGAAUACCCGCUGAACUUAAGCAUAUCAAUAAGCGGAGGA
rnacentral:misc_RNA from 1 species